rnacentral:piRNA from 1 species
GGCCAGUCCUCUGUGUUGAUCUAGC